UAGCGGAGGAAAAGAAACCAACAGGGAUUGCCUCAGUAACGGCGAGUGAAGCGGCAAAAGCUCAAAUUUGAAAUCUAGCACCUUCGGUGUUCGAGUUGUAAUUUGAAGAUGGUAACCUUGGGUUUGGCUCUUGUCUAUGUUCCUUGGAACAGGACGUCAUAGAGGGUGAGAAUCCCGUCUGAUGAGAUGCCCAUUCCUAUGUAAGGUGCUAUCGAAGAGUCGAGUUGUUUGGGAAUGCAGCUCUAAGUGGGUGGUAAAUUCCAUCUAAAGCUAAAUAUUGGCGAGAGACCGAUAGCGAACAAGUACAGUGAUGGAAAGAUGAAAAGAACUUUGAAAAGAGAGUGAAAAAGUACGUGAAAUUGUUGAAAGGGAAGGGCAUUAGAUCAGACUUGGUGUUUUACGAUUAUCUUCUCUUCUUGAGUUGUGCACUCGUAUUUCACUGGGCCAGCAUCGAUUCGGAUGGCAAGAUAAUGGCAGUUGAAUGUGGCUUCACUUCGGUGGAGUGUUAUAGCUUCUGCUGAUAUUGCCUGUCUGGAUCGAGGGCUGCGUCUUUUGACUAGGAUGCUGGCGUAAUGAUCUAAUGCCGCCCGUCUUAAACCCCGGGACC
rnacentral:rRNA from 1 species